GACCAGCAAGAAACAGAGUCCCCGAUUCUCCUCAUCUCUCCGCCGCCAACCACCGCAUCGUCUCCCUCCUCCGACCCACCUUGCCGCCGGCCGUCCCCCUCCCUCUCCUCCCACCUCGCGGCUUCGGAGUCCGCUGGAUCUGCCGCAUCACCCACCCACCCAUCCCUCUCGUGUCCCAUAUCUCUCUUCACGAAGCUCGUCGCUGCGCACCUGCGCCGGCUACUCAGGCGACGGCCGGUGAAUCCUGCCACCGCGAAGCACAGCCCAAGGUCCCCUCGCACCGCGGCGCCCUCCGGUACAGCUAGAGGCGGCGCUGGCGACCACGAAAGCCCACACGGGACCCGGUGUCUAUGUCGUCCUCCUCUCGUCCGUUGUUCUGCAGGUAUCUAGAGUUGCGUUCAAGUUGCUGAGAAUCAGAGGUGCAGAACUGACUAUUUGGUGUAGGCCCUUCCAUUUUGUGGGUUGUGUUUUCAUGUGAUGUUGCUGAGUCCGAAAUUUUCCCUCUAUGCAGCAUGUUAGCUUCUCCCAUACGGCCAUACCUGUAUGCCGUGGCCUGCAAAGUUGACUUCCAUAUUUAUAAUCAUUAGUGAACAUGCAGCAUACCUAGACAGCAUAUUGUUAGAGUUGCUUCGGUUAAUAGCAUCGUGAUGAUGUAGUACUCCUUCUGUAAAUUAAUAUCAGAGCAUUUAGAUCACUAAAGUAGUGAUCUAAACGCUCUUAUAUUAGUUUACGGAGGGAGUACUACUUAAGUAGGUGGAUGGACAAGAAACAGUAGGCAGUGGCGGUUAACACUUGUUCCUUGUGAAGUCCGUAUUUACAAUGAUUUGCCUACCUUGAGUCCUAUGUAUAAAAUAGUAAUCUGUUUCUUUUUCUUUUGUGGAGAAAUGAGUGUUUUGCUUGAAAGAAUAAUGUUCUUACUCUUUUUUUCACUGAAUGUGUAUAUAAUACAAUUAUGUUUCUUUUAUCAUUUGUGGAGAAAAUGAGUGUUUUGCUUGAAACAAUAAUGUUCUGACUUUUAUUUUUUUUCUGAAUGAAUAUGCAUAUUUAUAGGAUUUUGUUCUAACAUACACAGGAAGGCUAUGUUAUCCAUCUGCAAAUAUUCUUUGCUGAUAUGCAGAUUUUUUUACACUGUAGUUUUUUCGGCUUGGAUGAUGGUCUUGGGAUCACAACUGCAAUAAUGUUCUGACUCUUUUCUUCUUUUUUGAAUGAAUGUGUAUAUACAUACACAGGCAUGAUAUGUUAUCCAUCUUCAAAUAUUCUUUGCUGAUAUGCAGAUUUUUUUUGUACUGUAGGUUUUUCCGCUUGGAUGAUGGUCUUGGGAUCACAAGUGCAGUAUGUUUGGGCUAGUGCCUAAAUAGGAGCCAUUGUUGUUCUGCUGGUGUUAGGAUUUGUCACUGUUUGGGCUCAAGUGUGUGCUUCUUGAGGUCAAUUUGAUUUUGUUGUGCUGCACCGCAGGACUAACCCCUAGUGCUACGAGUCAGUAUGGAACUUGAACCGCAAUGAUGCUAGUUGAAUUCCUGAAUAUUGAAUUCUUAUUUUAUUAAGCUAGAUGUAAAUAGUAACUAGGACACCUAUAACAGUAGGAAUAUAUAGCUUGCUCUUCUUUUAUUAAGUAGGAAUGGAACUUCAUGCAGCUUUACUUGUGUUACGCUGUUCUAGAGAUGCACGAGACACCUGUAACCUGCGCCAUGGAGCAAGUCUGAGUUCGUAGAUCAAGUCAUGGACGAUGCCAUCAAAGAUUCAAAAAAUAUAUGGAUGAUUAUAUGGGUGCGUGGCAAGUAUACUGCAGUAAUAAUGAUGAUGUUCCAGUUCAUGAUGCUGAUGAUGGAUGCUUCCAGUUUUAGUUAAGUUGUAGGGAUAUUGUUCCUGUUGGAUGAUGUUCCUCGGUCAACUUUUAGUGAUGUUGAUGUAUGCUUUCAGUUUAAGUUUCGAUGUUAAGAAAAUAUUUAGAUUCUGCAUCACAUUUGGAUGAUGUUCCUCUUGUAAUAUCCACUAUUG